rnacentral:tRNA from 1 species
UGGUCUCGACGCGCUCUCGGAAGAAGAUCGUGCCGCUUACAACGCGGCACGGAGCGCUGGAGGCUACAGCUUCGAUCAGUUCAAGACCGAUGUGACGAC